rnacentral:rRNA from 1 species
UGGGGAAUCUUCCGCAAUGGGCGCAAGCCUGACGGAGCAACGCCGCGUGAGUGAAGAAGGUCUUCGGAUCGUAAAGCUCUGUUGACGGGGACGAACGUGCGGGGUGCGAAUAGCGCUUUGUAAUGACGGUACCUGUCGAGGAAGCCACGGCUAACUACGUGCCAGCAGCCGCGGUAAUACGUAGGUGGCGAGCGUUGUCCGGAAUCAUUGGGCGUAAAGGGAGCGCAGGCGGGCCGGUAAGUCUUACUUAAAAGUGCGGGGCUCAACCCCGUGAUGGGAGAGAAACUAUCGGUCUUGAGUACAGGAGAGGAAAGCGGAAUUCCCAGUGUAGCGGUGAAAUGCGUAGAUAUUGGGAAGAACACCAGUGGCGAAGGCGGCUUUCUGGACUGCAACUGACGCUGAGGCUCGAAAGCCAGGGGAGCGAACG